GCUCUGAUUCUUUAGCUCUGAGCAAAGAAAAUCAGACUACAUAUGGGUACUUCUCUCUCCUUCUCUAUCUGUCCAUAGCUUUUUCUUCUUGCCAGAUCUAUAUGCUCUAUCCAGAUCAUAAUGUGAUGGUGGCUUAUGAUCAAAAUUAGAUGAUGCCAAGCCACCUCAAGGUUGAAACCCUCUCAUCCUCUCAGCAAUGUUGCCACCGUCGUCCCUCUCCAAACCCGCAACCUCGCCGUUGUCCCUUGACGCCUCCAACCCCCUCUGUGAUGCCAUUAAGGAGCUCCAGCGCCACCAGCGCACUGAUGUUGUGCGAUUGGCAUGGGAACCUCAGAGCUUUCUGCUUCGCACGUUUAAGCUGUCUCUCGGACAGUCCUACUCCUCGCUGCUCGAUCUUAAGCACAAUCUGCAAGAAGGGUUGUAGGGAAAUCCUGUUGCUAAAACCAUGAAGAAUGUUUCAAGAGGCAUGGAUGUUCUUACAGUUCCAUUUACCAUGGGCUUUCCAAAGAGUGGAGGCUGAGUUCCAAGGUUCAAUUCCCAAGAGCUGCGUGCAUUGUCAAUUUAUGUUCUCAAAGCAUCUUGCAUUGCCCAUUGAAUAGGUUGUGUGGUUGUUCAUAUCUAGAUUAGUAUAUGAAAUGUUUCAGUUGUUAUAAAUAUUGUUUGUGGUUAAUCUCUGUUGGAAGUUAUGCUAAUCAAAUGUGUGGAAUGGCAAAAUAUUCACCAAGGCAAUUUAAUCUUUCAAUCGCAUGGCACUUAGUUCCAUAAGGCGGGAUAGUCACAUAAUGGUCUGAUACAACUCUUGAAUUCUGUUGCAUGCAAUUUUAAAGGUUGUUGAUGUGAUUAUGCCUCACUGUGGAUUUGUCACAGAUUCCCAAAGUUGUUGAGAAUUCUGAGGGUGCUCGGACCACACCAUCAGUAGUUGCCUUCAAUCAGAAAGGAG